rnacentral:rRNA from 1 species
AGUGAACGCUGGCGGUAGGCCUAACACAUGCAAGUCGAACGGCAGCACAGUAAGAGCUUGCUCUUACGGGUGGCGAGUGGCGGACGGGUGAGGAAUACAUCGGAAUCUACUUUUUCGUGGGGGAUAACGUAGGGAAACUUACGCUAAUACCGCAUACGACCUACGGGUGAAAGCAGGGGAUCUUCGGACCUUGCGCGAUUGAAUGAGCCGAUGUCGGAUUAGCUAGUUGGCGGGGUAAAGGCCCACCAAGGCGACGAUCCGUAGCUGGUCUGAGAGGAUGAUCAGCCACACUGGAACUGAGACACGGUCCAGACUCCUACGGGAGGCAGCAGUGGGGAAUACUGGACAAUGGGCGCAAGCCUGAUCCAGCCAUACCGCGUGGGUGAAGAAGGCCUUCGGGUCGUAAAGCCCUUUUGUUGGGAAAGAAAAGCAGCAGGUUAAUACCCCGCUGUUCUGACGGUACCCAAAGAAUAAGCACCGGCUAACUUCGUG